rnacentral:tRNA from 1 species
GCAUUGGUGGUUCAGUGGUUGAAUUCUCGCCUUCCAUAAGGGAGACCCUGGUUCAAUUCCUGGCCAAGGCA